rnacentral:rRNA from 1 species
AAGGAUCAUUAUUGAAUGAACUUGGCGUGGUUGUUGCUGGCCCUCUCGGGGGGCAUGUGCACACCCGCCAUCUCCAUCUCUCCACCUGUGCACCUCUUGUAGACCUGGAAUAGACUUUCCGAGGCAACUCGGUUGGGAGGAAAUGCUGUCGUUUUGCGUCAGCUUUCUUUGGACUUUCCAAGCCUACGUUUUUCAUAUACCCGUAGUAUGUAACAGAAUGUAUCAUUUGGGCCUCAGUGCCUAUAAACCAUAUACAACUUUCAGCAACGGAUCUCUUGGCUCUCGCAUCGAUGAAGAACGCAGCGAAAUGCGAUAAGUAAUGUGAAUUGCAGAAUUCAGUGAAUCAUCGAAUCUUUGAACGCACCUUGCGCUCCUUGGUAUUCCGAGGAGCAUGCCUGUUUGAGUGUCAUUUAAUUCUCAACCUUAUUAGCUUUUGCUGAUAAUGGCUUGGAUGUGGGGGGUUAUCUUUUGCUGGCUUCUUUCACAGAGGUCAGCUCCCCUGAAAUGCAUUAGCUGGUGCCCCGCGUGGACUGUCUAUUUGGUGUGAUAAUUAUCUACGCCGUGGAUGUCUGCAAUUGGUUUUGGCGCUGCUUCUAACUGUCUGUUCAWAGGGACAAUACAUGACAAUUUGACU